rnacentral:rRNA from 1 species
AUNUUUCGGANGCNCGCUGGCGGCAGGCCUAACACAUGCAGUCGAGCGCCCCACUUGUGGGGAGCGGCGGACGGGUUAGUAACGCGUGGGAACGUGCCCUUUUCUGCGGAAUAGCCUCUGGAAACGGAGAGUAAUACCGCAUACGCCCUUUUGGGGAAAGAUUUAUCGGAGAAGGAUCGGCCCGCGUUAGAUUAGGUAGUUGGUGGGGUAAUGGCCUACCAAGCCUACGAUCUAUAGCUGGUUUGAGAGGAUGAUCAGCAACACUGGGACUGAGACACGGCCCANACUCCUACGGGAGGCAGCAGUGGGGAAUCUUAGACAAUGGGGGCAACCCUGAUCUAGCCAUGCCGCGUGAGUGAAGAAGGCCCUAGGGUCGUAAAGCUNUUUCGCCUGUGAUGAUAAUGACAGUAGCAGGUAAAGAAACCCCGGCUAACUCCNUGCCA